UGCUCUUCUUGGAUGAGUUGCGAACGGGUGAGUAACGCGUAGGUAACCUGCCUUGUAGCGGGGGAUAACUAUUGGAAACGAUAGCUAAUACCGCAUAACAAUGGAUGACACAUGUCAUUUAUUUGAAAGGGGCAAUUGCUCCACUACAAGAUGGACCUGCGUUGUAUUAGCUAGUAGGUGAGGUAAUGGCUCACCUAGGCGACGAUACAUAGCCGACCUGAGAGGGUGAUCGGCCACACUGGGACUGAGACACGGCCCAGACUCCUACGGGAGGCAGCAGUAGGGAAUCUUCGGCAAUGGGGGCAACCCUGACCGAGCAACGCCGCGUGAGUGAAGAAGGUUUUCGGAUCGUAAAGCUCUGUUGUAAGUCAAGAACGGGUGUGAGAGUGGAAAGUUCACACUGUGACGGUAGCUUACCAGAAAGGGACGGCUAACUACGUGCCAGCAGCCGCGGUAAUACGUAGGUCCCGAGCGUUGUCCGGAUUUAUUGGGCGUAAAGCGAGCGCAGGCGGUUUGAUAAGUCUGAAGUUAAAGGCUGUGGCUCAACCAUAGUUCGCUUUGGAAACUGUCAAACUUGAGUGCAGAAGGGGAGAGUGGAAUUCCAUGUGUAGCGGUGAAAUGCGUAGAUAUAUGGAGGAACACCGGUGGCGAAAGCGGCUCUCUGGUCUGUAACUGACGCUGAGGCUCGAAAGCGUGGGGAGCGAACAGGAUUAGAUACCCUGGUAGUCCACGCCGUAAACGAUGAGUGCUAGGUGUUGGAUCCUUUCCGGGAUUCAGUGCCGCAGCUAACGCAUUAAGCACUCCGCCUGGGGAGUACGACCGCAAGGUUGAAACUCAAAGGAAUUGACGGGGGCCCGCACAAGCGGUGGAGCAUGUGGUUUAAUUCGAAGCAACGCGAAGAACCUUACCAGGUCUUGACAUCCCGAUGCUAUUUCUAGAGAUAGAAAGUUACUUCGGUACAUCGGUGACAGGUGGUGCAUGGUUGUCGUCAGCUCGUGUCGUGAGAUGUUGGGUUAAGUCCCGCAACGAGCGCAACCCCUAUUGUUAGUUGCCAUCAUUCAGUUGGGCACUCUAGCGAGACUGCCGGUAAUAAACCGGAGGAAGGUGGGGAUGACGUCAAAUCAUCAUGCCCCUUAUGACCUGGGCUACACACGUGCUACAAUGGUUGGUACAACGAGUUGCGAGUCGGUGACGGCGAGCUAAUCUCUUAAAGCCAAUCUCAGUUCGGAUUGUAGGCUGCAACUCGCCUACAUGAAGUCGGAAUCGCUAGUAAUCGCGGAUCAGCACGCCGCGGUGAAUACGUUCCCGGGCCUUGUACACACCGCCCGUCACACCACGAGAGUUUGUAACACCCGAAGU
rnacentral:rRNA from 1 species